UGAGGAAUAUUGGUCAAUGGGCGAGAGCCUGAACCAGCCAAGUCGCGUGAGGGAAGACGGUCCUAUGGAUUGUAAACCUCUUUUGCCGGGGAGCAAAGAGCGGCACGUGUGCCGCGCCGAGAGUACCCGGAGAAAAAGCAUCGGCUAACUCCGUGCCAGC
rnacentral:rRNA from 1 species